AUGAUUCUUAUACAUUAUGUAUGUUUCUUUCCUGCAGAUACAUGUGCCAUCGUAGCUUCAGCCAAGUGCAUCGAAAUGGAACAUCGCCGGCUAUACGAGGAACAUCAUAAAAAGAAGUUCCCAUGUGUUGCUGCGUCUCCACGCAAGCUUCACCGCAGCUGUCGCCGGGAUGGUGUGUGGACACCUGAUGAAGGAGCAUCGGUGGAAUCGACAUGGGAUAGUUCGCCGAGAGUUCGGCGGCAUCGUCACAACCAACGCUCCCGUCCCUGCCCCGUACCUCCUGCCACUGGAAUCCUGGAAGAAGCAUACUUUUACCUCCGGUCGUCGGCUCACCAAGGAGCACAUCGCAGAUCUCAUCGACAUGGGAGGCUCCUUCAUUGCCACAAUCUGGACAUGCCCGUGGUACCAUAUGUUCAACUCGGAAGAAACAGAUCGGGUGGUCUACAAGUCUGGGUGCGCUCGUGA
rnacentral:rRNA from 1 species